rnacentral:rRNA from 1 species
GACGAACGCUGGCGGCGUGCUUAACACAUGCAAGUCGAGCGGUAAGGCCCUUUCGGGGGGUACACGGGCGGCGAACGGGUGAGUAACACGUGGGUGACCUGCCCUCAGCUCUGGGAUAAGCCUGGGAAACCGGGUCUAAUACUGGAUAUGACUCCAUGACGCAUGUUGUGGGGUGGAAAGCCUUGUGCGGCUGAGGAUGGGCCCGCGGCCUAUCAGCUUGUUGGUGGGGUGAUGGCCUACCAAGGCGACGACGGGUAGCCGGCCUGAGAGGGCGACCGGCCACACUGGGACUGAGACACGGCCCAGACUCCUACGGGAGGCAGCAGUGGGGAAUCUUGCGCAAUGGGCGAAAGCCUGACGCAGCGACGCCGCGUGAGGGAUGACGGCCU